AUGACUUUCAUCAUCAUCUUCAUCUGGACACUCACAGUCUUUACUCAAGUGUGUAGAGGACAGUACACUCUUACUCAGAGUCCAUCAAUAUCAGCAGUUCAACCAGGACAACAAGUUAAAAUAAACUGUAAAGUGAGCAGUGCAGUGUAUAGUAGUAAUUACUUGGCCUGGUACUUACAGAGACCUGGAGAAGCUCCUAAACUCCUCAUAUAUUAUGCAACAACCCUUCAGUCAGGAACUCCAUCAAGAUUCAGUGGCAGCGGAUCAAACACAGAUUUCACUUUGACCAUCAAUGGAGUUCAGACUGAAGAUUUAGGAGUUUAUUACUGUCAGAGUUUUCACUAUCCAAGUAGCACUAAUGUGUUGACACAGUGA